UACGGAGGGUGCAAGCGUUGUCCGGAUUUAUUGGGUUUAAAGGGUGCGUAGGCGGCCAUUUAAGUCUGGGGUGAAAGCCCGUUGCUCAACAACGGAACUGCCCUGGAAACUGGGUGGCUUGAGUACAGACGAGGGUGGCGGAAUGGAUGCUGUAGCGGUGAAAUGCAUAGAUAGCAUCCAGAACCCCGAUUGCGAAGGCAGCUGCCUAGACUGUAACUGACGCUGAGGCACGAAAGCGUGGGGAGCGAACAGG
rnacentral:rRNA from 1 species